UACGAAGGGGGCUAGCGUUGUUCGGAAUUACUGGGCGUAAAGCGUAUGCAGGCGGAUCGUUAAGUCGGGGGUGAAAUCCCGAGGCUCAACCUCGGAACUGCCUUCGAUACUGGCGACCUUCGAGUCCGGGAGAGGUGAGUGGAACUCCGAGUGUAGAGGUGAAAUUCGUAGAUAUUCGGAAGAACACCAGUGGCGAAGGCGGCUCACUGGCCCGGUACUGACGCUGAGAUACGGAAAGCGUGGGGAGCAAACAGG
rnacentral:rRNA from 1 species